rnacentral:rRNA from 1 species
CCCUUAGAUGUCCCGGGCCGCACGCGCGCUACACUGAUACGAGCAGCGAGUUUGGUUUCCUUGGCUGAAAGGCCUGGGCAAUCUUGUGAAAUCGUAUCGUGAUGGGACUUGACGGUUGUAAUUGUUUGUCACAAACGAGGAAUUCCUAGUAAGUGCAAGUCAUCAACUUGCGUUGAUUAUGUCCCUGCCCUUUGUACACACCGCCCGUCGCUCCUACCGAUUGAAUGUUCCGGUGAACUCUUCGGAGCCUUGGUUUGGAUUUGGGGAUUCUCAGGUCUGGCCGCUGGGCCAAGUUGCGUAAGCCUUAACAUUUAGAGGAAGGAAAAGUCGUAACA